CCUACGGGGGGCUGCAGUGGGGAAUAUUGGGCAAUGGGCGCAAGCCUGACCCAGCAACGCCGCGUGAAGGAAGAAGGCUCUCGGGUUGUAAACUUCUUUUCUCAGGGACGAAGUAAGUGACGGUACCUGAGGAAUAAGCCACGGCUAACUAUGUGCCAGCAGCCGCGGUAAUACGGAGGUGGCAAGCGUUAUCCGGAUUUACUGGGUGUAAAGGGCGUGUAGGCGGGAAAGCAAGUCAGAUGGUUAAACCAUGGGCUUAACCUGUGGCCUGGAUUUAAAACUGUCUGUCUUGAGUACUGGAGAGGCAGACGGAAUUCCUCGUGUAGCGGUGAAAUGCGUAGAUAUGA
rnacentral:rRNA from 1 species